UUAAAUGGCAAUCUCGAUAGUUAGAGUUGCAACAUUCAUUAACCCUAAUUUUUGUAUGUAUAAGAGAGAGAUGCACUUACUACAAUGAACCGAUCAAAAUAUAUUUAUAAUAUUUGAAGUGAGUGAUAGCGGUACUAUGGUUGACUGGAUGCUGCAGCUUAUUUUAAAGGAAUAUAACUGCAGAAAAGUAAAGCGAGCUGCAACGCACAUCUGGAGCGUACAUGCAAAACUACAAAGAGAAGCAGAACAAGGAUUAUGCCACUUUAGGCAUAAUACCAAACUUAUAUAUAUAUUUGCAAACUUCAGAGGAAAGACUAAAGCUUAGCUGAAUACCACCCAUAAACCCCCAUUUAAGAAGGUAGCUAUGGGUGCGAGGAAUCCUACUAGCAGUUCUUCAAGACAUACAAUGGCUAUCGCUCGAUGGAAGAAGCACUCGUAGUCCUUUGUGUCAGGAAGUAACAAAAAUCAUGCACCUAGAAAUACAACAUAAAAUUUUAUUAAAACGAAUUUAAUUGCAAAACUAAGACGAAACAACAAUUUUGAUAUUCUUAUUAUUUAACAGAGUUGGUAUUAAUACUUCCCAUGCAAGAAUGAUAGAAGACAAGAUUAUUACACACUGAAACGUUCACGAACCACGAAUGGGAAUAGGCAACAGAAGAAUUGCCAAAUGGAAAACGGGAAUGUGAAACAUAGUGAACCAAAUUGAAUAAUGUGCAGAUAACAUAUCAUAAUGAACGUAAUUCUUAAAAUCUUCAUUUAUAAAAUGAUCCGAUAUAAUAAUGCAUAUUUAUAAUUAAAAUUAUAUGUUUUGUUACAAAAAGUUCGCCAUUUUGCCAACUUUUUUGUUGGUUGGAAAAGUGAAAAAAAUUCUUUAUAGACGACUUUUUUCUACUAUUGUUGUUUAAUUCCGCCAUUGCGGACUUCUUUUUCAAGUUAAUACAUUUUUCACUUAGAAUUUUAAAUAAUAAUUAAGCAUUGACUUCAGCUCUUUGUUUUGGUUUUAUUGUUUUGUACCACCGUGCAAUUUUGUUUUGCUCGCGUGUUCGGGGUCGUGAAAGUUGUCACUCAACAGGAACUCAAAACCCAAAAAAGCUAACUGUAAACGCCUGUCGUAAUCUUGUCUUCUAUCAUUCUUGCUUCCCAUGCUUAUAAUAUUUGUGGAUAGUCGCCAAAUGGUGUAACAAGUGUAGCAGCAACAACAAGUAAUACAUGUUCAAAAUCACAAUAAAAGUAAAAUCGCACAACGCAACAGGCAAAUAACAAGGCAUCGGAUGAUGUACUACAAAUUACAUCGGACUUUUGGAGUAGCCCUUUCAACACUUAUUUUCGACGUGCUAAACACAGUGUCUCCUUUGAUGCCCUUGGAUCUACACAAUGGAUAAUUAACAGAGCUCUAAAAACAACAUUGAGGCGCUGAAGUUGUUCAUCUUGCUUCUGAUUUGAUUAUGGAGACAUUAUUAGGCUGAACUUACAAUUUAUCGUAACAUUGUGAUAGUUAACUUAUAAAUUUUGAACGUACGCAAUAGCACUCAAUUUAUUAAUAUAAAUGUAAAAUAUUGUUAAAUGAGCAGCUAUAUACAAAUGAAUAUACGAAUAUUUGUAACAAUCGUAAUAGUAGUGAAAUUUAAUUUGUAUUG